AGGCGGCAGCCAGCCCUGGCUCCUGUGCUGGCUACCUCCCGUACUUGUUUCCUAAGUGUCUUUCUUGCAUACAAGAAAGUAUAGUAGUAUCUCGUGUUAAGAUUUUAAUCUUGAACGGCACAAGACUAUCUUUGUGGGAAAGCAAGUACUCCAACGCAGAUGCCUAAUGUGGAGGGAUAAACUGUCCAAACAGAUCUGGAGGUGUGAAGGUCUGUUAAAGAAUCUUUUGUUCUAGAGUCCCCACUGACUGAAAACAGCAAAAUUUGCUUUGUUAUGUAAUAGGUUUUGGUUCCUCCUUAAGCGAAAGAGGUUGCCCAGGAUUCUCUGCCCUCGGAUUCUGUAAGAACGUUUUCUUAUUGGGGUGACAGGGCAGGAAGAGAAGAAUGGUGUUUGGGGUUCCCUGAAAAAAAUCACUUGAGUGAAGAUUCUGCAAACUAAUUAGAACUUUGUGAUUGUGGGUGUUGGGCUGUUGCAGAUUCACAGCCAAAAUUAUAUUUGAGUAUCUUUAGUUCCUUUAAGUAGCCGUUUAUCUCCAACCCACCUAACUGACCCAGUAUUCUUGACCAUCAGGUAGGAAAUUUUAUUUUAAAUUAGUUCACUAAUCAGAGACAGGAUCUCUAUGUAGCCCUGGCUGUCCUGGAACUUUUUGACUUUGAACUCAAAAGAGAUCUGCCUGCCUCUCUCUUACGAGUGCUUCCACUACAAGUGGAUAACACCCACCUGGAAUUUAUUCAUUUAGCAGACUACUAACUUGUACAAACCAAGAACAUCUUGUAUGUCAUCUAAGUAUGUCAUCAGAUAAUAUCAGAGAUUUCCCUGGAGUAACUCACCGACCAGUGUUGGCACAAGGUCUUUGAAGCUAAGAGGUCAUUGGAUCCCCGGAACUGGUGUGACAGAUGCUGGAGGUAAACACUGGUCUUCUGAAAGAGGUCUCUUCACUGCCGUGUCAUCUCCAGCCCUGCUGAGCAGGAUCUUGAACUCUCAGUCCUCCUGCCUCCAGCUCCUGGGAUUGAUUAGCGGCAGGCAUGAUCUCACUACUAAGCCUGAUUUUAUGCAAUGUUUGGGAUUGAACCUGGGGCUUCAUGUAUGUUAUUAAGAAUUUUACCAACUAAACUACAUCCCUAGCCUGGCCUCCUGCAUCUUUCCUUUUUUCAUCAGAGGUUUCAUUUGGGUUUAUAAGGGAAAACGGUGUGUGGGUUGCUGGGGAUCGAUUCCAGGGCCUUGUGCAUACUGAACACAUACUUUACCAGUGAAUACUUUCAUCUCUCCCACCCCUCAAGCCCUGAAAGUCCAUGAGAAGUCUUUUGAAGUGUCAUUUUAAAGAUGGUUUAAUCUGAGUGUAAGCGCCAAAGUGAUAUACACACAGGGGAAGGCAGUGGGCAUGCUCAGUCAGGACUGUGGCUGGAGGCAAAGCUGGAAAAACCCAGUGGGAAAGCCUGGGCUAUAAGGCGGCAGAGUACUGGGCUACAAGUGCUGUAGCUGGCGGGUAGCAGGUCUCAGUAAAGCACGUCCCUUGCAGCUUUACCCUGUGUUGACGCCAGGUUGAUUUACUUAUGAGGGAUGAUAGUUGGGGCCAGUGUGAUUCCUGCACAUUCACAGAUCUCUGGCUGGAAGAAUGGAAAGCAGAAAACCUUCUAGGAGUUUGUUUUGACCAACCUACUCUGCCCUCUAUGUUCUGUGACAGAGAUAAGACACCAAUGGAUAUGUGUAACUUCUAAAACCAGUGCAGUGGAAAAGCAGAGUCAGUUAAGCUUAAGAGAAAUAAUGCCUGUGUGUUCUUACAGGUUUGGUGAGUCCCUUUCCACAUGGUCUAAGUCACAUGUUGACUGGUUGGAUUCAUCCCAUUUUAUGCAAAAUAGAAUUGGAUUUGGAUAUAUAUCACAAAAUUUAAAAUGUGAGAUACAUGAAAAUAUCAAAGUGAGGUCAUUAUUUUGUAUGUUAAUUGAAGAAUAAGAGUGAGACCAGGUAUGGUGCUGCACACCUUUAAUCCCAGGCAGAGGCAGGAGGAUCUUUGAGUUUGAGGCCAGCCUGUAUGAGCAGAGCUAAAUGCUGGCAGCAUCUUAGUAUUGUUAUGUCUGUGACCCAUCACCUGUCUCCUAUUUUGUAAUUCUUCCUCACAUGCCUAAGGCAAUCUAGAAUUGUAUCUAACUGGUUCUAAUAAAGAGCUGACAGGCAAUAGCUGGGCAAGAAGUGGAAGGCAGAUCUGGGCAGAGAGAGGGAUGCUGAGGGAAUAUUUAUACUCUUUAUGACAUAAUCAACAAUAUGAGAUUGUUUAGCAAUUUUAGCCCUUUAAAGUUGGCACAGGUAGUGUGUGUGUGUGUGUAUACAAAGGCAUGGAAGGCAGGUUAAAAUCUUUUGCAACCCAGAAGUCAUUGUUCAGUAUACGUUUUGAUAGAUAUAUAAGAAUGGACUAUGACACAUAAGACAGCUCCAUGAUGGUGGGACACCUGCUCCCGUGUGGAUCCUAUAGCUAGUGUCCUUCAGUCCACUGCGUGCAUGGACAGCAGCAGCGCAGUGCACUCCAUGAGACUGUGAACUCCCUCAUAUGACUUCUGCUAGGACUUCAUCUUCGAAGAAUCACACGUCAAAGGAGCAGAUGUGGAUCACACAGGAAGCCAGAAUGCAGUGUUCUAUAGGACUCUUCCUGGAGUCCCAUUCUGUGUAUGGUGAACCUAUAUAAAGUAGGUAUGCUUCACCUGCUGUGCGAUGGUCUUUAGUUGUACCUUAUAAACCUUAUAAACCAUUUUAUACAUUUGAAAAAGUAAAGAAAGAAAGAAAAAGUUAAGUAUGGGACAUUACUCAGCUUCGUUGGGGAUCGGGACUCUGGUCAGUCUUAGUGAUUUUGAAGGAGACAUUAGGCAAGUUUGGUAAAGAAAACAGAAAGCUCAAAAGCAAUGGGAAUGGCCAAAGCAAAGGCUGCUGUGUUUCAGCUAAGGGGGAGAACAUGGCUGCAUUUUGGUGAUCCCAAUGGGGAGGGCCUGUUGCACCAGGCUCUAGGUUGGCUCUGACAGACAAGCUGCAGACAUACAGACAGAACACAGGCAUCUGGCCACCAACACGGUGAAUAGAGCAUGGCACACACAGCUACGAAUGUGGAAGAACUGACAAUCCUGGAAGGCAGGAGGCCUUGUCACAGGCACGGAGCGGAUGGAGGGAAAGGCAGUCACAGUACCUUGGACUUAUGCCAGUAUGCUCAACUCACAGAUCCAGACCAAACACCGCUUAAUCCUACCUCCUCCUCCUCCUCAUGUUGAGGCCUGUUCCUUUUAACACAACUGUAGCCAUUUGUAUUCAGGCUCAAUGUUAGUCACAAGGUGAAAUUAAGGUCAUAGUGAUUAGUGUAACUGACACUGAAAAAUGCUACUAACAAGCAAAAACAACGUGAUUAAAUCACUUGUUCCUAGUUAUCUCAGUGUUCUGAAAUUCCCUUGUUCACCGCCUGACCACCAUCUUUCUUACCUCACUCAGGACCAAUUGGCUUAAAGGUUGGCUAACAAUACUUUACCUAGU